rnacentral:rRNA from 1 species
GACGUAGGGGGCGAGCGUUGUCCGGAAUUACUGGGCGUAAAGGGCGUGUAGGCGGCCUUUAAAGUCAGCUGUGAAAUCCCUUGGCUUAACUGAGGGCUUGCAGUUGAAACUUAAAGGCUUGAGUGCAGGAGAGGAAGGUGGAAUUCCCAGUGUAGCGGUGAAAUGCGUAGAUAUUGGGAGGAACACCGGUGGCGAAGGCGGCCUUCUGGCCUGUAACUGACGCUGAGGCGCGAAAGCUAGGGGAGCAAACAGGAUUAGAUACCCCUGUAGUCC